rnacentral:rRNA from 1 species
GAUGAACGCUGGCGGCGUGCCUAAUACAUGCAAGUCGAGCGAACAGACGAGGAGCUUGCUCCUCUGACGUUAGCGGCGGACGGGUGAGUAACACGUGGAUAACCGACAUAUAAGACUGGAAUAACUUCGGGAAACCGGAGCUAAUACCGGGUAAUAUAUUGAACCGCAUGGUUCAAUAGUGAAAGACGGGUUUGCUGUCACUUAUAGAUGGAUCCGCGCUGCAUUAGCUAGUUGGUAAGGUAACGGCUUACCAAGGCAAGGAUGGGUAGCCGACCUGAGAGGGUGAUCGGCCACACUGGAACUGAGGCACGGUCCAGACUCCUACGGGAGGCAGCGGUAGGGAAUCUUCCGCGAUGGGCGAAAGCCUAACGGAGCAACGCCGCGUGAGUGAUGAAGGUCUUCGGAUCGUAGAACUCUGUUAUUAGGGAAGAACAAAUGUGUAAGUAACUAUGCACGUCUUGACGGUACCUAAUCAGAAAGCCACGGCUAACUACGUG